GGGCAAGACUGGAACCCCUAGAAGUGGGUGGCAAGUCACAGGUCCAGGGCAGGGUGGCAUGACCAUGGCUGCAGAGGCCCCUAUCCCGAAGCUGGCUCACAGCACCUGCUGCGGGCAGGCAGAAGGGGGGCCUGGGGGUGAGUCACCGCCCAGCAAUGAGGCUUGAGUCACACAGGGCGGGGUCCCCCGUUAGCCCCCCCAGCUGCUCCC
rnacentral:lncRNA from 1 species